rnacentral:rRNA from 1 species
GAUGAACGCUGGCGGCGUGCCUAAUACAUGCAAGUCGAGCGAACGGACGAGAAGCUUGCUUCUCUGAUGUUAGCGGCGGACGGGUGAGUAACACGUGGAUAACCUACCUAUAAGACUGGGAUAACUUCGGGAAACCGGAGCUAAUACCGGAUAAUAUUUUGAACCGCAUGGUUCAAAAGUGAAAGACGGUCUUGCUGUCACUUAUAGAUGGAUCCGCGCUGCAUUAGCUAGUUGGUAAGGUAACGGCUUACCAAGGCAACGAUGCAUAGCCGACCUGAGAGGGUGAUCGGCCACACUGGAACUGAGACACGGUCCAGACUCCUACGGGAGGCAGCAGUAGGGAAUCUUCCGCAAUGGGCGAAAGCCUGACGGAGCAACGCCGCGUGAGUGAUGAAGGUCUUCGGAUCGUAAAACUCUGUUAUUAGGGAAGAACAUAUGUGUAAGUAACUGUGCACAUCUUGACGGUACCUAAUCAGAAAGCCACGGCUAACUACGUGCCAGCAGCCGCGGUAAUACGUAGGUGGCAAGCGUUAUCGGGAAUAUUGGGUGUAAAGCGCGCGUAGGCGGUUUUUUAGUCUGAUGUGAAAGCCCACGGCUCAACCGUGGAGGGUCAUUGGAAACUGGAAAACUUGAGUGCAGAAGAGGAAAGUGGAAUUCCAUGUGUAGCGGUGAAAUGCGCAGAGAUAUGGAGGAACACCAGUGGCGAAGGCGACUUUCUGGUCUGUAACUGACGCUGAUGUGCGAAAGCGUGGGGAUCAAACAGGAUUAGAUACCCUGGUAGUCCACGCCGUAAACGAUGAGUGCUAAGUGUUAGGGGGUUUCCGCCCCUUAGUGCUGCAGCUAACGCAUUAAGCACUCCGCCUGGGGAGUACGACCGCAAGGUUGAAACUCAAAGGAAUUGACGGGGACCCGCACAAGCGGUGGAGCAUGUGGUUUAAUUCGAAGCAACGCGAAGAACCUUACCAAAUCUUGACAUCCUUUGACAACUCUAGAGAUAGAGCUUUCCCCUUCGGGGGACAAAGUGACAGGUGGUGCAUGGUUGUCGUCAGCUCGUGUCGUGAGAUGUUGGGUUAAGUCCCGCAACGAGCGCAACCCUUAAGCUUAGUUGCCAUCAUUAAGUUGGGCACUCUAAGUUGACUGCCGGUGACAAACCGGAGGAAGGUGGGGAUGACGUCAAAUCAUCAUGCCCCUUAUGAUUUGGGCUACACACGUGCUACAAUGGACAAUACAAAGGGCAGCGAAACCGUGAGGUCAAGCAAAUCCCAUAAAGUUGUUCUCAGUUCGGAUUGUAGUCUGCAACUCGACUACAUGAAGCUGGAAUCGCUAGUAAUCGUAGAUCAGCAUGCUACGGUGAAUACGUUCCCGGGUCU